rnacentral:snRNA from 1 species
AGCUUUGCGCAGUGGCAGUAUCGUAGCCUAUGAGGUAUAUCCGAGGCGCGAUUAUUGCUAGUUGAAAACUUUACCCAAUACCCCGCCGUGACGACUUGAAAUAUAGUCGGCAUUGGCAAUUUUUGACGGUCUUUACGGAGA